GCAGUGACUCUCUUUCCCGGUUGUUUCCACCCGCCCCCUGACCCUGCGGCUCGCCAAGAAGCGCUGUCCGCGCAGGGAGCAGCUCCUGCCAGUCCCCAGCGCGAGGACAGGCCGCAGACGCGCAGAGACGAUGCUGUGGUGGCUGCAUUUUGCUUUCAUCGCAGCAGCGUCCAAAGGGGCCCAGGGCCAGGUGCUGCUGGUGGAGUCCGGGGGCGGGACUGUGAACACAGGCGGCUCCAGGCGGCUCUCCUGCACCGGCUCCGGAUUCACCUUCAGCAGCUACACCAUGUUCUGGUACCGGCAGGCCCCCGGGAAAGGGCUGGAAUGGGUCUCCUGGAUCAGCGGCAGUGGCGGCAACACAGAUUACACUAACGCAGUGAAAGGGCGAAUCACCGUCACUAGAGACAACGCUAAGAACCAGCAGUAUCUGCAAAUGAGCCGCCUGCGACCCGAGGACACCGCCCGGUAUUACUGUGCUAGAGACACAGUGACGGGAAGCCGGGCUGAGCUCUGACAAAAACUCGCUGCGUUCAGCCCAGGGAUUCGGGAGGGUCACGUGACCAACAUCACCCCCUGAAGUCCCGUGUCCCUGAGCCUCUUCCCAUAACCGGCCGCUUACCCACCCCCAGCAGCCUCUGGAUGGCGUCCGUCCUCGUGCAGUGUGGUGCAUG